rnacentral:rRNA from 1 species
UUUUUUUUACCCGGAAGGGAGGAAAAGACAGCGACAGCGAUUGUCUCAGUGACGGAGAGUGAAACGGCAAGAGUUCAGAUUUGGGAUCGUGCAGUGUGGCACGAGUUGUAGAUAGCAGGUAUGAGUGUGUGUGUAUGGCGUUGUCCUAUUCCCUUGGAGCAGGUCGCACAGGGGGGGGAUAGCGCCGUGGGAUAUCGUCGGAAGCAGUGAGGCCCUUCUGAGGAGUCUAGUUGUUUGGGAAUGACAGCAUCUAAGCGGGGGGUAAAUUCCAUCAUAAGGAUAAAUAAUAGGCGACGAGACCGAUAAGAGACGCAACGUAGCUGCGAAGGAAAGAAGAAAAGCACUUCGAAAAGAGAGGGAAGCAGCACGUGAAAUUGUUGAAAGGGAAGGGUAUUGCGCCAUCCAUGGGGAUUGCGCGCCUCUUCCUUUCGUGGGCGGCGCUUCU